GACGAACGCUGGCGGCAUGCCUAACACAUGCAAGUCGAACGGAGAACUCCUUCGGGGGUUCUUAGUGGCGAACGGGUGAGUAACGCGUAGGCAACCUGCCCUUUGGAUGGGGGACAACAUUCCGAAAGGAGUGCUAAUACCGAAUGUGACGAUUUUACCGCAUGGUUUAAUCGUGAAAGAUGGCCUCUACAUGUAAGCUAUCGCCAAAGGAUGGGCCUGCGUCUGAUUAGCUAGUUGGUGGGGUAACGGCUCACCAAGGCGACGAUCAGUAGCCGGUCUGAGAGGAUGAACGGCCACAUUGGGACUGAGAUACGGCCCAGACUCCUACGGGAGGCAGCAGUGGGGAAUAUUGGGCAAUGGGGGAAACCCUGACCCAGCAACGCCGCGUGAAGGAAGAAGGCCCUUCGGGUUGUAAACUCUUUUACCAGGACGAAGAACGUGACGGUACCGU
rnacentral:rRNA from 1 species